rnacentral:rRNA from 1 species
ACGGGGGGGGCAAGCGUUGUUCGGAAUUACUGGGCGUAAAGGGCUCGUAGGCGGCCAGCUAAGUCGGUUGUGAAAUCCCCCGGCUCAACCGGGGAACUGCGACCGAUACUGGGUGGCUUGAAGCCGGGAGAGGGAUGCGGAAUUCCAGGUGUAGCGGUGAAAUGCGUAGAUAUCUGGAGGAACACCCGUGGCGAAGGCGGCAUCCUGGACCGGUCUUGACGCUGAGGAGCGAAAGCCAGGGUAGCAAACGGG